rnacentral:rRNA from 1 species
CCUACGGGAGGCAGCAGUGAGGAAUAUUGGUCAAUGGGCGAGAGCCUGAACCAGCCAAGUCGCGUGAAGGAUGACGGCCCUACGGGUUGUAAACUUCUUUUGUCAGGGAGCAAUUGGGUCUACGCGUGGGCUUAGCGACAGUACCUGAAGAAAAAGCAUCGGCUAACUCCGUGCCAGCAGCCGCGGUAAUACGGUGGACGCGAGCGUUAUCCGGUUUUAUGGGGGUAAAGGGGUGCGUAGGCGGGCUGUUAAGUCAGCGGUAAAAAUUCGGGGCUCAACCCCGUCCGGCCGUUGGAACUGGGGGCCUUGAGUGGGCGAGAGGAAGGCGGAAUGCGUGGUGUAGCGGUGAAAUGCAUAGAUAUCACGCAGAACCCCGAUUGCGAAGGCAGCCUGCCGGCGCCCGACUGACGCUGAGGCACGAAAGUGCGGGGAUCGAACAGGAUUAGAUACCCCUGUAGUC